rnacentral:misc_RNA from 1 species
GAUAAGAACGCAGCGAAAUGCGAUAAGUAAUGUGAAUUGCAGAAUUCAGUGAAUCAUCGAAUCUUUGAACGCACCUUGCGCUCCUUGGUAUUCCGAGGAGCAUGCCUGUUUGAGUGUCAUUAAUAUAUCAACCUCUUCAGCUUAUGCUUGUUGAGUGUUGGAUGGUGGGGGUUUGCUGGUGUCUUAUGAAGUCAGCUCCUCUGAAAUGCAUUAGCGGAACAAUUUGUUGACCGUUCAUUGGUGUGAUAAAAAUAUCUACGCUAUUGACGUCAGUCAGUUCAGCUUCUAACAGUCCAUUGACUUGGACAAAUUUUUCAUUAAUGUGACCUCAAAUCAGGUAGGACUACCCGCUGAACUUAAGCAUAUCAAUAAGCGGAGGA